UACGUAGGGUGCGAGCGUUGCCCGGAUUUAUUGGGCGUAAAGGGCGCGUAGGCGGCUCGGCACGUCCGUUGUGAAAUCGCCCGGCUCCAACUGGGCGGGUCAGCGGAUACGGUCGAGCUUGAGCAAGCUAGGGGGUAAUGGAAUUCCCGGUGUAGUGGUGGAAUGCGUAGAUAUCGGGAGGAACACCAGUGGCGAAGGCGGCAUCCUGGACCGGCAUUGACGCUGAGGCGCGAA
rnacentral:rRNA from 1 species